rfam:Nomascus leucogenys chromosome 13, whole genome shotgun sequence.
UAAAGGACUUAGGUUUUUCAGAGUCUGGUAGCCAGUCA